AAUCCACAAGUACCCAGUACCUGAUGGAUGGAGGCGGGGGACCCACCGGGUCCGCCGAGAGCGGCCCUGAGGCCCUAGCCGGCCUCUUGGGGUGAAGCCGAUGACGUACUCACGAUGUGCGUCGCGGCCAGGCAGCCCCCUUGCCUGAACCCGACGCUGACCUCGCAGGCGUAGACAGAGAGGAAAU
rnacentral:sRNA from 2 species